rnacentral:lncRNA from 1 species
AUUGUGAACGUAAAAAAAAAAGCAUCAAAAUUAGGGCCUAUUUAGGCUAACUUCUGAAAAAGUAAUUUUGAUUUGGAGAAGUGAUUUUAGUUAAAAGCUGUAAAGCGUUUGGCAGAGUUUAGAUAAAAAUAAUUUUUCUGAAGUGAUUUUGAAAAGCCGUUUGAAAUUUUUUUUUUGAUGUUUGCAUAAAUUAAUAUUUUUAUUUAAAUUUUACUUUAAAAUACUUUAAAAUCUAAAUUUAAAUUUGAAUUAAAAUUAAAAUUUUUAAGUUUCAAAAUUGUACAAAUUUAAAAUUUGAUAUUUUAAUUUAAAAAAUAAUUUUAAAUUUUAAAAUUUUAAAUUUUAAAAUAAUUAUGAAAUUUAAAAUUUAAAAAUAUAAAUAUAAAUUUAAAAAUAUAUAUAAUUAUGAAUUUUAAAAUAUAAAAUUAAAAU